UACAGAGGGUGCAAGCGUUGUUCGGAAUUACUGGGCGUAAAGCGCGUGUAGGCGGCGGCGUAAGUCGGAUGUGAAAUCCCUCGGCUCAACCGAGGAAGUGCAUCCGAUACUGCGUUGCUUGAGUGUCGGAGGGGGUGGCGGAAUUCCCGGUGUAGAGGUGAAAUUCGUAGAUAUCGGGAGGAACACCUGUGGCGAAGGCGGCCACCUGGACGAUAACUGACGCUGAGACGCGAAAGCGUGGGGAGCAAACAGG
rnacentral:misc_RNA from 1 species